GUUCAGUCUGAUCUGGAAUCAUCUCGGACGGAUCUUUAUUUCUGAUUGGUGGAGAUAUUUGUGCUGCAUCACCAACUGAAUUUUAUUAUUAAUUAAACAGACUGAGGGAUGCGAGCCAGAACCGAGCAAAUAUCAGAGGAGAUAAAGUCUGUCUGUAGCAACUGAGCCUUGGGACGUGUGUGUGAGAGUGUGUGUGUUUGAAGAGCACAUUAGACCCAGAUUUCUCUGCCCUUGUUUAUUUAUGUGUGUUAUGACGGCUUUCUAAAUUAGCCAUCAAACCACUGUUCUGUUAUCAUGUCUUUAGGCAAUGUGUGUGUGUGUGUGUGUGUGUGUGUGUGUGUGUGUGUGUGUGUGUGUGUGUGUGCGUGUGUGUGCGUGUGUGUGUAUGUGUGUGAGAUGAAUCAUGAGGUCCUUAGGCAUUUGUGUGUGAGAAGGGGCACAGGAUCAUUGCUGGGGUUGCAGAGAGAGACUGUGUCCAUCCAUAGAACUGUUUGUGUGUGUGUGUGUGUGUGUGUGUGUGUGUGUGUGUGUGUGUGCAUAUUUUGUCAAGCUAGCAUUCUUUCCGCUCUGCAAUCUAUCAUCAUAUAUUUAAGGUCACCAUUAAUGUACACACUCUCUCUCUCUCGUUUCUCUCUCACUCACUCUUUUCUCUCUCUCCCUUCUCUCUCUCUCUUCUCUCUCUCUUUACUCUCUCGCACUCUCUCUCUCUCACUUCUCUCUCUUUACACUCUCUUUUUUCUCUCUCUCUCUUACAGACACACACUCUCUCUUUUCUCUCCCUCUCUUUUCUCGCUCUUCUCUCUCUCUUUAUGCUCUCUCCCUCUCACACAGACACAUACUCUCUCUCUCUCUUCCUCUCUCUUUUCUCUCUCUCUCACACACACUCUCUCUCUCCCUCGCACACACACACACAGUGGUAAAAAUCUAUAAAGGAACUUUACUGCUUGUGGCUGAGGAUGGAAAGUAAUUACCGCUUUUAUAAGGUUAUCAAUUCCUCUGACUUCAUUUCUAUUGAUCGGAGCAGUUUAUACCACAGCAUAGAUAAUCGUCAGA
ensembl:lncRNA